AUGGUUUCAAAUAUCUAUCACCUGAGUGAAAAAUUAUAAUGAUAAUAAUAGAUUAGUGAUCAAGCAUUUCAUCUUUUAUAAGCCAAUUUUGACCCUUUUUCACAUCUUCAGUUGUCAUGAACUAAGGCAAUACAAUUGACAUCAAGCAUGCAGAUAAUAGAUGACUGAUUAGUAACAUUUAAAGUCUCAGAGAACAACAUAAAGGAUUUGAGUGGAGACACGGACACAUACCUAUGGACCUUGACAUUGCAAG
rnacentral:misc_RNA from 1 species